CAGCCGCCGCGGUAAUACAGAGGGUGCGAGCGUUAAUCGGAUUUACUGGGCGUAAAGCGUGCGUAGGCGGCUUCUUAAUUCGGAUGUGAAAUCCCUGAGCUUAACUUAGGAAUUGCAUUCGAUACUGGGAAGCUAGAGUAUGGGAGAGGAUGGUAGAAUUCCAGGUGUAGCGGUGAAAUGCGUAGAGAUCUGGAGGAAUACCGAUGGCGAAGGCAGCCAUCUGGCCUAAUACUGACGCUGAGGUACGAAAGCAUGGGGAGCAAACAGGAUUAGAUACCCCAGUAGUCCCUGUCUCUUAUAA
rnacentral:rRNA from 1 species